rnacentral:rRNA from 1 species
AUUGAACGCUGGCGGCAUGCCUUACACAUGCAAGUCGAACGGCAGCGGGGAGAAGCUUGCUUCUCCUGCCGGCGAGUGGCGAACGGGUGAGUAAUACAUCGGAACGUGCCCUGUAGUGGGGGAUAACUAGUCGAAAGAUUAGCUAAUACCGCAUACGACCUGAGGGUGAAAGUGGGGACCGCAAGGCCUCAUGCUAUAGGAGCGGCCGAUGUCUGAUUAGCUAGUUGGUGGGGUAAAGGCCCACCAAGGCGACGAUCAGUAGCUGGUCUGAGAGGACGAUCAGCCACACUGGGACUGAGACACGGCCCAGACUCCUACGGGAGGCAGCAGUGGGGAAUUUUGGACAAUGGGCGAAAGCCUGAUCCAGCAAUGCCGCGUGUGUGAAGAAGG